UACGUAGGUGACCAGCGUUGUCCGGAUUUACUGGGCGUAAAGAGCGCGCAGGCGGUCGUUCAAGUCGAGUGUGAAAGCCCCCGGCUCAACUGGGGAGGGUCAUUCGAUACUGAUCGACUUGAAGGCAGGAGAGGGAAGUGGAAUUCCCGGUGUAGUGGUGAAAUGCGUAGAUAUCGGGAGGAACACCAGUGGCGAAGGCGGGUCUCUGGACAGUUCCUGACACUGAGACACGAAGGCCAGGGGAGCAAACGGG
rnacentral:rRNA from 1 species